ACCCAAGUGAGGGAGGAAGACCUGGACGACCCGGAUUUAAUGGAAUGAGUGGUGAUCCGGGAUUUCCAGGUUUGCCAGGUGAUAAAGGGCCUUUUGGGAUGCCUGGAAUGCAAGGAAUGAGGGGCAAGAGAGGUAAGGA